GAAUGACUUUGAACUUAACAUGUGCUGCCUAUUUUAGUCUCAGCUGCAAUUGCAAAAAUUACAACAUUUGGAUGUAAACAGCCUGAAUAUAUGUACUGCUGUAACUGCAAUGAAACUGCAAUAUCCAGAAUGUACAUGAUAAAGUACAUUAUUCUCAUAUGAUUCAUUUUCUAGUUGGGGUUUCAUCUGGAGAGUCUCUUAUAUUGAGACAUGGAAUAUGCAAAGAUUUGAAUUAUUAAAUUUGAAGAAGUGUCAUUUAAGUCUAGCUAUAGAAUUCCAAAAAAUAUAUUUUUAAAAGGAUAAGAUUUUUUAACACAGAUAAGAUAAAAUACCUACACAGGCUGUAAUGAAUACAUACACAUAAAUUCUAUUCAUGUUCUUGAUUGUGAGAAACUGAGUAAAUUAAUGUAAUGCCAGGCACUGGAUUUUUCCCUGCUUUCCCUAUUUCAUGGUUUUCAAUAAUUACAAUGCUUUGAGAAUUUUUGAACUACUAACUUGAACUUGAACUAACUACUAGUUUUCUAAAACUUAGUGAGCAACAAGUGACAUUUAAAAUACGAUUUAUUACAUUCUUGCAUUAUACAUGCAUUAAUCUUACAGAUGGUGUAUGGGAAUUGCUAAGCCAUGGCCUGAACCAAUCAUUGAGCACCUCGUGAAGGAACACAGCCAGCCCUGGGAGCAUAGGUGAAAGGAAUUCACCUGUGUGACUGGAAGAGGUAGAACCAGGUUCCAACUCUCCCCAAGCCUCAUUUAAGGGCUGGCUGCCACAAGGAAAGGGUCUCUACCUGUAGAUCCCUCUUUGUGAAGUAUUUGAUAAGCCCUGAUCCUUGGGAUGGGUGGAAGGCUUUCAUGGCUUCACCCGUGCAGCUGCCACCAAAGAUGAGCACCAGCUCACUCCUGUAGACACAGCCAUUUCUGCAGACCUGCAAGUUUAGACAUUUGUGGACUAGAAGGAUUGAAACAGAAUCAUAGAAUUGCUCAGGUUGGAAAAGGCCUUGAAGAUCAUCAAGAUUCUUAGAGGAAGAUUUGGUUUGUAUCCUACAGUCGCAUUACACCAAAUAAUGAACCUUUUGCUCAAACAAAGUGAUUAACACCUACCAUCUACUGACACAUCUCCUUCCCAUAACAGUUUGCCUUCUGGAGGAGGUACUACUGGGGUAAAGCCAUGCUACAGAAAUUGGGAGUUUUGUCGUCUCCUUUUGGUAAGCUCUAUUUGUUCUAAGUAUUACAGUUGCCUUUUAAUAUUUUAAUUAUGUAGGCUUUUGCUUUUUACUGAGAAAUCACUGUAUGUUUCCAAAAAAGAAAUAAUAAAAAAGUGUUUUUCUAGGAAAAAAAGAAGAAAAAAAAUCAAUGUCCAAAGCAAGAACUGCUUGAUAUCUGCUUUCUAUGUUAUUAGGUUUAGUGCAAGUUGUAUCUAAAAGUUAUAGGCCUGCAGCAUCUGGCCACUACCUCCAAAAUACUCUUGACUACAGUGAAUUAUAGUGUAGCAAAGAAAUGUUAUCUCUUAUUGAGUGGUAUCUUCCAAAUGCCCCAAUACACCAAUAAUUAUCCAUUAACCAAUAAUUAUCCAUUACUAACCAUGAGAACGCAUACUUAACGCCUUCUUAAAUCUACUGCCUAAUUCAACUAUUGUCUUUUUGUGACCCUAGAACUUAGCCCUCAAGUGAAGUGAUUAAUAGAUAAUUCAUAAAUGUGUCUAUGACAACAAUAAGUGUUAUUUUUUUCAUAUCUAGGCUAUGCUAUGCAGUAACAUCAGAACAAAUGGUCAAGUUCCAAUAAUUUUGUUAACAGACAACUGAAAGCAAACACACUCAUAAACAUUAACAUUUUAAUGACUUCAUUCUGAAAAUGAUUUCUGAACACCAUGAUGACAACUAGAUAGAGCACAUGAGAGAUUCCUUCAGCAUCAAUGUUAUUAGCCUCAAAUAUUGCUGCGGUACAUCAACAACUGUUCAUCAUCAAAUCUGUAAUUAAAAAGUAGGAAAACAUCACAUUCACCUAGGAAAACCUGAACUGCUUUGAAACUGGAAAUCUUGUUUCGAAUCAGAGUUAAACAGGAAACCCAUCCCACCCAAGAACUUGGCUUGUCUGUUUUUCUGUUUGUUUGCUUCAUUAAUCAAUCCAUAGUUCUCCCGUGGUGUAGAAAGAGAUUAAUUUGAGCUAAAAGAGUGCCUGCAUAUUUGCAUAAUAUUAACCCUGAAAAAAACACUAUGGACUACCAGGUAUAAGAUGAAACAAAAAACUAAUGCAUGUAUUUCUUGGCAGUUUUUCAGCAUUCUUGUGUUUAAGACACUGACCUACUUUCCAGAUUUUUUUCAGCUCUAUCUAGUAAUCCUUAAACUCAAACUGAAAGACACUUAUGGUUCAAAAUGAAAAAUUUACUUCAGUAGAAUGGAUUCUCAAAUACCAGGCAAGACAACAACACGUUUCUCAUAGUUAAUUUUCACACUGUUGUAGCUUACUUCAGUUUCUACAGUCACAGCAGCAUUCAGCAGUAGACUCAUUACUAGGAAAAUUCUCUCAGAUCUCUCACUUGUUUUUAUCUGCGAUAUCUUUUAUGCUCUUGAUUAGUAGGAACCUCAGAACUUUAAAAAACAAAAGUUCAUUUAGGGAUUUCUACUUAAAAAGAGAACUUGGUAAACAUAAGAUGAGGACCACACAGCUGUAUAAGAAAAGUGAAGAGGGAAAAUUAAUUAUGCCAAGUUUCACUAAUGAACUGAUCUAUCUAAAUGGGAUCUACCACUCAAACUCUUUUUUUCCCCAUUUUUAACAUAUCUAUUUGAACACAGUACCUUUUUUUUUGUCUGUGUUAUGUUAUAUUAUGGCAAGAUUUGUUUUAUUACAUAGAAAAAAAAAUGUCUCCUGGGAUACAGGUGGUAAAAUUCAGGUGUGUAUGGGGUUGUGGAGAAACUGCCACAGUCAUU